rnacentral:rRNA from 1 species
UGGGGAAUCUUGCACAAUGGGCGAAAGCCUGAUGCAGCGACGCCGCGUGCGGGAUGAAGGCCUUCGGGUCGUAAACCGCUUUCAGCAGGGACGAGGCCGCAAGGUGACGGUACCUGCAGAAGAAGCCCCGGCUAACUACGUGCCAGCAGCCGCGGUAAUACGUAGGGGGCAAGCGUUAUCCGGAUUCAUUGGGCGUAAAGCGCGCGUAGGCGGCCUGUUAGGUCGGGAGUCAAAUCCGGGGGCUCAACCCCCGUCCGCUCCCGAUACCGGCAGGCUUGAGUCUGGUAGGGGAAGGCGGAAUUCCAAGUGUAGCGGUGGAAUGCGCAGAUAUUUGGAAGAACACCGGUGGCGAAGGCGGCCUUCUGGGCCACGACUGACGCUGAGGCGCGAAAGCUAGGGGAGCGAACAGG